AGAGUUUGAUCUUGGCUCAGGACGAACGCUGGCGGCGUGCUUAACACAUGCAAGUCGAACGAUGAAGCCUGGCUUGCUAGGUGGAUUAGUGGCGAACGGGUGAGUAAUACGUGAGUAACCUACCUUUAACUCUGGGAUAAGCCUGGGAAACUGGGUCUAAUACCGGAUACGACCGAUCUCCGCAUGGAGUGUUGGUGGAAAGCGUUAUGUAGUGGUUAUAGAUGGGCUCACGGCCUAUCAGCUUGUUGGUGAGGUAACGGCUCACCAAGGCGACGACGGGUAGCCGGCCUGAGAGGGUGACCGGCCACACUGGGACUGAGACACGGCCCAGACUCCUACGGGAGGCAGCAGUGGGGAAUAUUGCACAAUGGGCGCAAGCCUGAUGCAGCGACGCCGCGUGAGGGAUGACGGCCUUCGGGUUGUAAACCUUCUGUUAGCAGGGAAGAAGAGAAAUUGACGGUACCUGCAGAGAAAGCGCCGGCUAACUACGUGCCAGCAGCCGCGGUAAUACGUAGGGCGCGAGCGUUGUCCGGAAUUAUUGGGCGUAAAGAGCUUGUAGGCGGUUUGUCGCGUCUGCUGUGAAAGGCCGGGGCUUAACCCCGUGUAUUGCAGUGGGUACGGGCAGACUAGAGUGCAGUAGGGGAGACUGGAACUCCUGGUGUAGCGGUGGAAUGCGCAGAUAUCAGGAAGAACACCGAUGGCGAAGGCAGGUCUCUGGGCUGUAACUGACGCUGAGAAGCGAAAGCAUGGGGAGCGACCAGGAUUUGCUUCCCUGGUAGUCCGUACCCGUAAAACGUUGGGCACUAGGUGUGGGGGACAAUUCCACGUUUUCCGCGCCGUAAGCUAACGCAUAAAGUGCCCCGCUUGGGGAGUACGGCCGCAAGGCUAAAACUCAAAGAAAUUGACGGGGGCCCGCACAAGCGGCGGAGCAUGCGGAUUAAUUCGAUGCAACGCGAAGAACCUUACCAAGGCUUGACAUAUACUGGACCGCAUCAGAGAUGGUGUUUCCCUUCGGGGCUGGUAUACAGGUGGUGCAUGGUUGUCGUCAGCUCGUGUCGUGAGAUGUUGGGUUAAGUCCCGCAACGAGCGCAACCCUCGUUCUAUGUUGCCAGCACGUUAUGGUGGGGACUCAUAGGAGACUGCCGGGGUCAACUCGGAGGAAGGUGGGGAUGACGUCAAAUCAUCAUGCCCCUUAUGUCUUGGGCUUCACGCAUGCUACAAUGGCCGGUACAGAGGGUUGCGAUACUGUGAGGUGGAGCUAAUCCCUAAAAGCCGGUCUCAGUUCGGAUUGGGGUCUGCAACUCGACCCCAUGAAGUCGGAGUCGCUAGUAAUCGCAGAUCAGCAACGCUGCGGUGAAUACGUUCCCGGGCCUUGCACACACCGCCCGUCA
rnacentral:rRNA from 1 species